UUCUUCGAAGAGUGUUUCACC
rnacentral:piRNA from 1 species